rnacentral:rRNA from 1 species
GACGAACGCUGGCGGCGUGCUUAACACAUGCAAGUCGAACGAAGAGCGAUGGAAGCUUGCUUCUAUCAAUCUUAGUGGCGAACGGGUGAGUAACGCGUAAUCAACCUGCCCUUCAGAGGGGGACAACAGUUGGAAACGACUGCUAAUACCGCAUACGAUCUAAUCUCGGCAUCGAGGAUAGAUGAAAGGUGGCCUCUACAUGUAAGCUAUCACUGAAGGAGGGGAUUGCGUCUGAUUAGCUAGUUGGAGGGGUAACGGCCCACCAAGGCGAUGAUCAGUAGCCGGUCUGAGAGGAUGAACGGCCACAUUGGGACUGAGACACGGCCCAGACGCCUACGGGAGGCAGCAGUGGGGAAUCUUCCGCAAUGGACGAAAGUCUGACGGAGCAACGCCGCGGGAGUGAUGACGGCCUUCGGGUUGUAAAGCUCGGUUAAUCGGGACGAAAGGCCUUCUUGCGAAUAGUGAGAAGGAUUGACGGUACCGGAAUAGAAAGCCACGGCUAACUACGUG